rnacentral:lncRNA from 1 species
AAGUGAUGAACCUCAUUUUUGAGUGUGGAGAUUGGAACUUAGGGAAGUGAUUUGUAACUUUGCUCCAGCUUGAGACUUGGCUUGGAAAUAACCUCCAAGGCGUGGAAUACCAGCAUUGACAGCCUUACCUGGGUGCACCUCAGGAGUCUGCUCAAAGAGGUGAGAAAGGAGUUUGGAGACAGAAAGACGGAAGAGUUGAUAUUCCGCUCACAGAUGUCAAUUUUCAAAGAAAUUUCUGCCCAUUAUGGAUGCACCACAAAUACUAGUCUAUGCAAUAUAUAUUUUGAAAAGAAUUUUUUUCGUGAAACUGUAAUUUUCGUUCAUAAGAAUAUAUUUCCUGACUUAGCAUUUUAUUGACUAGAUUAAAA